ensembl:lncRNA
CCAAAACUCUCAGGAUAUCCUGGGCUCUCUCUGUAGACCAGGCUGGCCUCAAACUCCCUCUGUAGACCAGACUUACCUCAAACUUGAGAGACCCACUUCCUCUGCCUCCUGAGUGCUGAGAUUAAGGGCGUGGGCCACCACUACCAGUUUACAACUAGUUUUAAAAACACUGGCUAAUGUGUGGAGAUGGACAAUAGCUUAGGUAGAGAGAAAGUUUAUUUUCUAAGUUGUCAGAAAAAAAAUUGUUAGCAAAAAUAAGUGUGCUGAUUGGGUUGGUUUGGUUUUUUGUUUUUUUUUUCCUCGAAUGUACUAUAUCUCAGCCAUAGUUUCCCCCUCCUCUUCCCGCAGUCCUCCCACAUCCUCCCCUCAGAAAAGAGCAGUCCUCCCAGGAACAUCAACAAAAUAAUAAGCUACACAGUAGGCCUAGGGCCUCCUGUCACAUCAAGGCUGCACGAGAGGCCACUCCGUAAGGGGAAGGUUCCCAUAAGCAGGCAAAAGAACCAGAACCUGGGACAGCCCCCACCCCCACUGUUAGGAUUCCCACUAAACCACCAAGCUACUCGGCCAUAGCAUACUCGUAAUUAGCUCAGGCUAGUUUAUGUCAACUUGACGUGAGCCAGAGUUACGAGAAAAUGCCUUCGCAAGGCUGGGCAUGGUGGCUCUUGCUUGUAAUUCCAGCUCUCCAAAAGGAAGCUGCAGCAGGAUUGCCUUGAACUUGAGGCUAGCCUGGGCUACAUACAGCGUGUGACUAUCUUAAAGACAAAAACAAAGCAAGCCAGUUGUAGUACCACAAAGCUAUGAUCCUGGCACUUGGAAGGAAGAUAUGAAGCUCAAGGUCAUCCCCAGCUACACAUGGAGUUAAAGGUGACUGGCGGGCACUACGUAUGGAGUUAUUAAAGGCCAGCCUGUGCUACAUGAGACCCUGUCACGGCAUCAGCUGCUUCACAGAAGAGCCUUUCUCAUGCUCAGUGAUUACCACAUAGGUUCUCACUAUUGAGUAAACUGAUCUUUUCAAAUUGAAUGAAGGUGUUUGACAGUUGGGAAAACACUGUUAGAGGUUGGAGUCCAGCUUUCAAGGGAAAGGGCCACAGCUGGUUUGAGUCUAAGGUUUAAUAGAUGCAGUGGUCUGACAUGGGCAGUGGUCACAUUAGUUCUAGUCAGUGAG